CAAGACACGAAGAGACGAAGGUCUGUAUCAAGACUCAAGAGAGACGAACUGGUUUAUCUUCACUAACGAAUAAUUCACAUGUUCUCAUCAGUCAGUUAUAUAUGAUAUAUAAAUCCUCUGUCUAUGUUUUUUUGGGUGUUAUAUGAUUUGUUUCUUCUUCUUCUUCAGCUUUCGUUCGGCAAUCAGCCUUCUCUCUCCCAAGUAAUCAAAGGUCAGGCCCCAGCUCUCUAAUCUUGUUCAUAAUACAAUUACACUCUCUUGGUUUACUUCGUGUGCUUCUAUCUGUGUAUGAAUUGAGAAUUAAUUGGAAUCGCAUCAAUGUAUUUGAAGAUUUUGUGAUAUUCAGGUUCUGCACUCUCUUGGCCUCAAUUGCUAAUGAUGUUGUUCUAUAUGGAAUUGAUUGAAAGAAAGAAAAAAUCGGGGGUUUUUGUAAUCGCUCUUUAUGCGAUGAGAUAUAUUUGAUGAAUGUAAACUCUUGGAAGCAAUUACAAGGUAUAAACAAGAAUAGUGCUUUUUGAUUCUUGAAUUUAUUUUGUAUUUGGAACAGGACCAUAUUACUGAGUAUAUGGGAUAAUCAUAUUCUGCUGGAUCCUUGUAGAACCAAAAUUCAAAUGAAAAUAGAUAGGGAAAUAUUCCUAUUAAGGUUAUUGGGGUUUGUGGGUAUGUGGGGGAAAUCUUAAGUGGAAACU
rnacentral:lncRNA from 1 species